GCCGCGUGAGUGAUGAAGGUUUUCGGAUCGUAAAGCUCUGUUGUUAGGGAAGAACAAGUACCGUUCGAAUAGGGCGGUACCUUGACGGUACCUAACCAGAAAGCCACGGNUAACUACGUGCCAGCAGCCGCGGUAAUACGUAGGUGGCAAGCGUUGUCCGGAAUUAUUGGGCGUAAAGGGCUCGCAGGCGGUUUCUUAAGUCUGAUGUGAAAGCCCCCGGCUCAACCGGGGAGGGUCAUUGGAAACUGGGGAACUUGAGUGCAGAAGAGGAGAGUGGAAUUCCACGUGUAGCGGUGAAAUGCGUAGAGAUGUGGAGGAACACCAGUGGCGAAGGCGACUCUCUGGUCUGUAACUGACGCUGAGGAGCGAAAGCGUGGGGAGCGAACAGGAUUAGAUACCCUGGUAGUCCACGCCGUAAACGAUGAGUGCUAAGUGUUAGGGGGUUUCCGCCCCUUAGUGCUGCAGCUAACGCAUUAAGCACUCCGCCUGGGGAGUACGGUCGCAAGACUGAAACUCAAAGGAAUUGACGGGGGCCCGCACAAGCGGUGGAGCAUGUGGUUUAAUUCGAAGCAACGCGAAGAACCUUACCAGGUCUUGACAUCCUCUGACAAUCCUAGAGAUAGGACGUCCCCUUCGGGGGCAAAAUGACAGGUGGUGCAUGGUUGUCGUCAGCUCGUGUCGUGAAAUGUUGGGUUNANUCCCGCACCGAGCGCAACCC
rnacentral:rRNA from 1 species